rnacentral:misc_RNA from 1 species
GAUGAAGAACGUAGCGAAAUGCGAUAAGUAAUGUGAAUUGCAGAAUUCAGUGAAUCAUCGAAUCUUUGAACGCACCUUGCGCUCCUUGGUAUUCCGAGGAGCAUGCCUGUUUGAGUGUCAUGAAAUUCUCAACCUUUCCAGCUUUCUUUGUUGAUCAGGCUUGGAUGUGGGAGUAUGCGGGCUUCUCAGAAGUCGGCUCUCCUGAAAUGCAUUAGCGGGACCUUUGUUGCCUGGCUUUGGUGUGAUAAUUAUCUACGCCAUUGUAGUCAAGCAGCUUAAAAUGAGGUUUCAGCUUCUAACCGUCUCCCCUGAGACAACUUUUUGACAAUUUGACCUCAAAUCAGGUAGGACUACCCGCUGAACUUAAGCAUAUCAAUAAGCGGAGGA